UAGUAUCCGACUGCUUUAAAAGAAAGACGGCAGUACGAGUUGAGAGAGGGCCUGCUUUGGAGCUUCAAACGGCAUCAUCGUUUCGAACACACUUAUCAAGAUGAAAUACCAUACUGUUAUGACCGUCCUUCUAGUCCUGGGACUUACAUUCUCCCUGACAAAUGUAGAGGGGGCAUCAUCAACUACAGUGGGAACGGGAGGCGGUAGUUCUCAUACAAAUUCAACUUCAGCAAAGGCAACUACCGCGCCGAAACACAAUAGCGCUAUGUCAUUGUACGCCACAUCAUUCAUCCAUUUCAUUCCAUUGAUCCUCGGAUACCGUCUGUUAAAUUAGCAGUCAACGGGACAGGCAGCAUGACCGACCAGACGAGGAAAAUCAAUCUGGUGACGCAAGCUUCCGGUUUUUACUAUUCAAAAACUAAUUAAUCUUACAUCGUGUGAUUAUUUGAUUUACUCUGUAUACAUGUUUAUUUCACUUAUCUACGGACGAUUUAUUUAUUGGCUAAAACGUUUGAAUUAAUUGGAGUAUGUGAAGCACGUGUGAUAAAGAAACACAGUAUUGGUCAUUUUUACAUCAUGUUCUGUAGUUGUGGCAAAGUCUAGUCUUUGUGAGAGUGUGUGACAUAAUUAAGUGAUCGAAAAGAUGUCACGUGUUUUUUUUACCUCGUGAUAAUGACUUUACGGACAUAUUAUGGUAUCUGUUGAAGCUUUUUAUCGUGCCUUAAACCAUUUGUGUGUGAUAUGGAUAAAUGUUUGAGCUGUGGUAUAAAUAUCAGCGAAACAGAAAAAUGAUGAAUGGGCUAAUUUGACAUUGUUGUUGUCACAGCCCUUUCGGAGUAUCCAUACAUAACUUAUGUGUUUUUAUUUAUUAAAACUGU